rnacentral:rRNA from 1 species
CUACGGGGGGCAGCAGUGGGGAAUAUUGGACAAUGGGCGAAAGCCUGAUCCAGCAAUGCCGCGUGAAUGAUGAAGGCCUUAGGGUUGUAAAGUUCUUUUAGUUGGAAAGAUAAUGACGGUACCAACAGAAAAAGCCCCGGCUAACUCCGUGCCAGCAGCCGCGGUAAGACGGAGGGGGCUAGCGUUGUUCGGAAUUACUGGGCGUAAAGGGCGCGUAGGCGGAUUAGUAAGUUGGGAGUGAAAGCCCGGGGCUUAACCUCGGAACUGCUUUCAAAACUGCUAGUCUUGAGUGAAGUAGGGGAUGAUGGAAUUCCUAGUGUAGAGGUGAAAUUCUUAGAUAUUAGGAAGAACACCGGUGGCGAAGGCGGUCAUCUGGACUUCAACUGACGCUGAGGCGCGAAAGCGUGGGGAGCAAACAGGAUUAGAUACCCCUGUAGUC